rnacentral:rRNA from 1 species
CAAUAGCGUAUAUUUAAGUUGUUGCAGUUAAAAAGCUCGUAGUUGGAUUUCGGUUGAGAGCGACCGGUCCGCCGUUUGGUGUGCACUGGCUGGUUUCAACUUCCUGUAGAGGACGCGCUUUGGGCUUAACGGUCUGAACGUGGAGUCUACGUGGUUACUUUGAAAAAAUUAGAGUGUUCAAAGCGGGCUUACGCUUGAAUAUUUCAGCAUGGAAUAACACUAUAGGACUCCUGUCCUAUUUCGUUGGUCUCGGGACGGGGGUAAUGAUUAAGAGGAACAGUUGGGGGCAUUCGUAUUUCAUUGUCAGAGGUGAAAUUCUUGGAUUUACGCAAGACAAACAGCUGCGAAAGCGUCUGCCAAGGAUGUUUUCAUUA